ACAUUCAUUUUGAUAAAAUGUUACCUACCUAAUGGUUUAAUCUUGGCAUCCUGAUCUUCAGCUGUUACAAAUAUUCCCAGAAUAUUGUAUUUACUUAACAGUUUUUAAAUUGAAGAAUCUGCACUGUAAAAAUGUCCCUUCUCAAUUACAGCACAAUUAUUUACAGAGUUGCCACAUGAAUACUGUAAUGUAGCUUUACAGCAGAGAUUUUCCUUACUGUAAAACAUGUUACAGUAUUCCUGCUGUAAAUGUGGGCAUCUGAUUCCAUGGCAGAAUUUAGUGGAUGUGUCAUGGUUGAUUGAUAGAGUGAAUACGCCUACUGAAUCUCAAGCCAGAUCUUAGAGCAAUAACGAUCAGGGAGAUAUGUUGACCUCUGCAUUCAGGGCUAAGAAUAGGAGAAAGUCCUUUAGAGAAACGAUUAGCUGUGUUGAACUUUUGAAUCCUGUUUUGUACGUGCUGACACUUGAUGAGUGAGAAAGGUUGAAUUGAAUAAAAUACUGUUAUUUUUCGUGAGUGUGCGGACUCCCUCAGGGACUUGUUGAUUUUCCACAUUAGUGAAAUGUAUGUCUGUUUCCUCAGCUUGUUAUGGAGGAAUUGGGAGUUUCUGGCUUGCUGCUCUAUCAGUCCCUCAGCACAGCUCCCACGUUGGCUCCACCCAGCCCUCCUGACUCAGACGUGCCAGUGCUGCUCAUCGUGUGUGUAACCCUUGCUGUGGUUUUGGUGGUGGUUUUUCUGGGGAUCGACUAUGGCUUCAAACGCCACAGGUAGUAUAAACCCUAGAGGGUGUCUCACACACAGGACAGUCAAUGGACCUAUUCAAAUACCCUUAACAUGUAUUGUUCCUUCUUUCCAUGAGGAAAUCAAUGAUCCGACACUUUGAUUAACGCAAUGGGGAACGCACGUUUUCACGUGUCCCCUCUUGUACUGAUCAGUGAUUACCUCAGGGAAGGGAGGAAAGACAGCAUCCAUUUUAGAGCUAUUCACUCACUGCACAGAUAUAACAUGGUGGUAAGUCUUCUCUUCAUUUCCAUCAGUGCUAAGAAAAACACAACUGACGCCAUCAGGAGACAUGGGUCCAUGAGGAUGAGUCCCGAAGGACUGGCUGUGGAACAUAGGCGUGUUUGUCUGCACAGGAUGUGCAUCUGCAUGCAAAUGUAUUGGCUGAAGCCCAGUAGCAACAUAUUCCAAAUGGCAUCCUAUUUCCUAUUUAGUGAAACUAUUUUGACCAGAGCCCUAUGAGUCCUGGUCAAAAUGAGUGUACUAUAAAGGGAAUAGGGUGCAAUUUGUAACACAACCAUCAUUUCAACAAAGUCUGGAGUUAAGUAUCACAUCAGUCUGUCUGCAAUAAACAUUUUG